rnacentral:snRNA from 1 species
AGCUUUGUGCAAUAGCAGUAGCAUAGCCAAUGAGGUUUAUCUGUGGUGUGAUUAUUGCUAAUUGAAAACUUUUUAGGGUAGAAAUAUCCCUGUGCAUAGCACAUAGGUGGGACCGAGAAAGUUUG